rnacentral:rRNA from 1 species
UACGAAGGGGGCGAGCGUUGUUCGGAUUUACUGGGCGUAAAGGGCGCGCAGGCGGCCGCUCAAGUCAGGCGUGAAAGCCCCGGGCUUAACCUGGGAACUGCGUCUGGGACUGAGUGGCUAGAGUUCGGGAGAGGAGAGUGGAAUUCCCAGUGUAGAGGUGAAAUUCGUAGAUAUUGGGAAGAACACCGGUGGCGAAGGCGGCUCUCUGGACCGAGACUGACGCUGAGGUGCGAAAGCGUGGGGAGCGAUCCGG